AUUUGUAUAGCUCAAAAUUAAUGUUUGAAUUUCACAGGAAAAAUAUCAUGGGACAUUUGACUUUAUCUUUGUUGAUGCUGAUAAGAAUAACUACAUUAACUACCACAAGAGGAUUAUUGAACUUGUGUAGGUUGGGGGAGUGAUUGGCUACGACAACACGCUGUGGUAUGGAUCUGUAGCUGCACCACCUGACGCAAAAAUGGAUGAGAGAAUCAGAUAUAACAGGGACUUUGUGUUGGAAUUGAACAAGGCUCUCGCUAUUGAUCCACGGAUCGAGAUUUGCCAACUCUCUAUUGCUGAUGGGGUUACAUUAUGUCGCCGCAUUAGUUGAUCGUUAUUUUAUCCAUUGUAUUUUUCAAAAUUAUCUUUCAACUCUGCUCAAUGAAUAAGCAAUUAAGUAGGUGUUUGGAAAACUUGCAUUUUUCUAAAUUUUAAAAAUAAAUUACUAAAUUUUAUCAUUAGAUAAACUGAAUUGUUCUAAAAUAAGUUGUCACGCAUAGGGAUGGCAAUGGGCACCGCCCGCAGUGGGUUUGCCAUUACCAAACCCAAACCUGCACAAAAUUUAAAUUACCAAACCCACCCGCAACCCGCAGCGGGUUUUAAUUGAAAAGGCUGGUAUUGCUCACAAGAUUGACUUCAAUAGAGAAUACUACGAACUCGGUCUCCCCAUAAUUGAAAAGGCUGGUAUUGCUCACAAGAUUGACUUCAGAGAAGGCCUAGCUCUCCCUCUUCUCGAUCAAAUGAUCCAAGACGUAAGCACAAAUUCCUCGUAUAAGAUUGUUUAGUAUAUAGAAGAUUAGAGCUGUAAUUGAUUUGUAUAGCUCAAAAUUAAUGUUUGAAUUUCACAGGAAAAAUAUCAUGGGACAUUUGACUUUAUCUUUGUUGAUGCUGAUAAGAAUAACUACAUUAACUACCACAAGAGGAUUAUUGAACUUGUGUAGGUUGGGGGAGUGAUUGGCUACGACAACACGCUGUGGUAUGGAUCUGUAGUUGCACCACCUGACGCAAAAAUGGAUGAGAGAAUCAGAUAUAACAGGGACUUUGUGUUGGAAUUGAACAAGGCUCUCGCUAUUGAUCCACGGAUCGAGAUUUGCCAACUCUCUAUUGCUGAUGGGGUUACAUUAUGUCGCCGCAUUAGUUGAUCGUUA
rnacentral:lncRNA from 1 species